UUUAAAGUUUUAUUCUGGUUUUUCUAUUAAAUAAAUAUAUUUAAUUAUAUGAAAAUUUUAGUGUGGCUUUAUUUUUAUUUAAAAAAUAAUAAUAAAUUAAUUUAAUUUCAAUAAUAAGUUUUAAAUAUUAAAGAAAUUUAGAUUUAGAAAUAAAUUUUAACAUUAUCUAAGUUUGUGCCAGCAGUUGCGGUUAUACAGGCAAUGUGAUUUAAUAUUUUUAGUAAUAAUUAAUUUUAUAAUGUUUUAAUUUUAAUUUUAAGUUUAUUGGGUGAAAUUUUAAAUUUAAUAAAAAAUUACUAUUAGUUAAUGAAGUUAGAAAAUCUAUAUAAGAAACUAGGAUUAGAUACCCUAUUAUUAUAGAUGUGAAUUUAAAAAUGCUAAAUUAUUAUAAGUUAUGUUCUUUAAAAUUAAAGAAUUUGGCGGUAUUUUAGUCUAUUCAGAGGAACCUGUCCUAUAAUUGAUGAUCCACGAUUAAUAUUACCAGUAUUUUUAAUUUAUAUAUCGUCGUAAUUUAAAUAUUUUAUAAGAAAAAUAAUAUUUAAAAUUUUUAAUAAAAAAAAAAUAAUUCAGAUCAAGAUGUAGUUUAUAUACUGGAAGAGAUGGGUUACAAUAAAUUUAUUUAUGGAUAAAUAGUUGAAAAUUAUUUUAAAAUUGGAUUUGAAGGUAAUUUUAUAUAUAUAUUUAAAAUGAUUCUAGCUCUAAAAUAUGUACAUAUCGCCCGUCGCUUUCAUUAUAAAGUGAAAUAAGUCGUAACAUAGUAGUCUUACUGGAAAGUGAGGCUCGACAGG
rnacentral:ncRNA from 1 species